rnacentral:rRNA from 1 species
UACGUAGGGGGCAAGCGUUGUCCGGAAUCAUUGGGCGUAAAGAGCGUGUAGGCGGUUCGGUAAGUCGGCUGUGAAAGUCCAGGGCUCAACCCUGGGAUGCCGGUCGAUACUGCCGGACUAGAGUUCGGAAGAGGCGAGUGGAAUUCCCGGUGUAGCGGUGAAAUGCGCAGAUAUCGGGAGGAACACCUAUGGCGAAGGCAGCUCGCUGGGACGUUACUGACGCUGAGGCGCGAAAGCUAGGGGAGCAAACGGG